ensembl:lncRNA
UUCCGCUGCUCUCGUUUCACCCUGCCGACUUUUACGAUGCGCUGUCUGCGGAACUCGCUCUGAACACGGCGUCAAAUUCUGAAAUGUGGUUUGCCAAGAAGCCCAUCCGUUGACGAAACCUAACGUAUCGACGACGAGUUCAAACUACGACUUUUUCUCCAGGUAAGAGUUUGGAAGUUUAGUUGGACGCUUGUAACUAAAGCUUGAAAUGGUGGCGCGCCUUCUCCAGGCGCCGUGACGCCCGGACAAGCGAACAUGGAAUAUCUGAUUAAGGUGCAAUACAGGGGACCACCAACAUAAAGGACAACUAGGUUGAGACUUGCUUUUGAGUAGACAGACUGUGGGGAGCGCGGGGGGUUCUGUUUCGGCUCCCUCCUAAAACGAACAACAGCAAGAAAAACACUUUCUGCAGUGAUCAGGAAGUAAGAACUUUGAGCCGCGGUAGGCCGGGUACACUUCAUUUCGUGCAUAGCAUGUUGGGUUAAAUACAGCUGAAUAAAGAACAAGGAUAUUUACUGAAUCAUUUGUUUUAUGCUUCUAGGUGUUUUGCGGAAAAUCGUGAGUUGAACCGUGAAGCCUCGUUUACUUAAAAGAGAUCAGUGAUAUCUCUCGUCAUCAUGGUUACUGCAUCUCCUUUUAACUUUACAGAGGUCGCACCAACACCCAUGACUCCAGCCCAGCCUAGCGCCGCUGUCAUAGGAGGUAAGUUCUUUCUCAGAAAAAAAGGUUUUAUUUUGCUAUACUGUAGUUUUUUUGU